rnacentral:rRNA from 1 species
GAUGGACGCUGGCGGCGUGCCUAAUACAUGCAAGUCGAGCGAACGGACGAGAAGCUUGCUUCUCUGAUGUUAGCGGCGGACGGGUGAGUAACACGUGGAUAACCUACCUAUAAGACUGGGAUAACUUCGGGAAACCGGAGCUAAUACCGGAUAAUAUUUUGAACCGCAUGGUUCAAAAGUGAAAGACGGUCUUGCUGUCACUUAUAGAUGGAUCCGCGCUGCAUUAGCUAGUUGGUAAGGUAACGGCUUACCAAGGCAACGAUGCAUAGCCGACCUGAGAGGGUGAUCGGCCACACGGGAACUGAGACACGGUCCAGACUCCUACGGGAGGCAGCAGUAGGGAAUCUUCCGCAAUGGGCGAAAGCCUGACGGAGCAACGCCGCGUGAGUGAUGAAGGUCUUCGGAUCGUAAAACUCUGUUAUUAGGGAAGAACAUAUGUGUAAGUAACUGUGCACAUCUUGACGGUACCUAAUCAGAAAGCCACGGCUAACUACGUG